rnacentral:ncRNA from 1 species
GAACGUUAGGUAAAAUCAUAAUGCAGCCCAAAUUCCGACAAGCAACCGCCCCGCUGAACUGCGAAAAAACAUUCUCUGCGAUGGCCCGAUUCUUUUGGAACCGGUUCCUCAGCCCCCAGCCCCCCGGGGCCAUCAGGAUCGGGCCUAUUCGCA